rnacentral:rRNA from 1 species
UACGAAGGGGGCUAGCGUUGCUCGGAAUUAUUGGGCGUAAAGCGCGCGCAGGCGGUUUCUUAAGUCUGAUGUGAAAGCCCACGGCUCAACCGUGGAGGGUCAUUGGAAACUGGGGAACUUGAGUGCAGAAGAGAAAAGCGGAAUUCCACGUGUAGCGGUGAAAUGCGUAGAGAUGUGGAGGAACACCAGUGGCGAAGGCGGCUUUUUGGUCUGUAACUGACGCUGAGGCGCGAAAGCGUGGGGAGCAAACAGG